UUUCACUUUCAAGGAAAUAGCAACUUGAGGGAGUAGCGACUCUCACACUAACACAGAUCAUAUACCUAGUGACCGCACACUAAGGCAGGAUGAUGAGGAUGUCAGGAAGAGUCACGAGUUGCUGUGCAGCUCUGUUCCUUGCACUGGCCUCUGUGUCAGCUGUACAAAGACUCAAUUCAAUUAAUGAUUUGAAGAAAAUCAACUUUGGUCAAUCUGUGCCCAAACACACUCUUCUACUUCUCCACUGGUUUGCCAACAUAGUUGAUAUCGACAGCAACAACAUCAUACAGUUGACCUUUGACCCAAACAAUGCCGAUUUUGGAUCGCAUCAUUAUGGCAACUUUGAGGGGAUGCUGGAGCAAACGCCUAAUGGUUACAAGUACUACACUGUUGGCAAUCUACUUCUAGACAGACGUGAACAACUUCCAGAUUAUGUCGUCCAUCCCCAGGCAGAGUAUGCGGGAAGAAACUGGGACCGGAUCGUGUUCAGAGUCAGGCUGCAGAGCACAGGAUGGCAAACUUUGCAACAGAUAGAUCGAGUGUACAUCACACAGCAUUAUGGGAUCCCUGGAAAUACGACAUAUAAUCCUGAACAUACCUAUGAGAUCACGAUUAACCUCCUGAGAACAAUCCGAAAGUUUUCAGUGGGAGCAAUCCAGUCACUGUCCAAUCUCAGAAAGCGCUAUGGAAGUAACACUAGUGAUUUCCAGUUAUCAGAAAUCAGAAACAUAUGGGGGAACCUUGCUUGUCUUGGACUGCUGUUGUUUAUUGUGAUCGAGGAAAGGUACAACUUUGACCAACAAAGGGCCAGCCUUCAGAGUGGGUCAACAGGAGGAGGAAACGAGGUUGUGACACAAACUUAUAUUCCUCAUAACAACUUCCAAGGCCCCAGACAAAAUCAGGGGAAUUGUAAAACAUGGUCUGUCAUUUUUUGUAUAAUUGUCGUUGUUGUUGUUGUUGUCUACCUUUACUUUAGUAUGAGGUAGGGGAAGACGACAAUAAAUGAGAAAGAUGUUGUCCAAACCAAACAUUUUUCUGUUCAUUACUUUUUUUAAAUUUUAAAAUUUGUAUUAUAUUUAACUUCACAAAGAAAAAAAAAAAAAAAAGACGAAACAUACAAUACACAAUAUUACUUUUAAGAUGAUUGGGAAUCAAGCAGUUAGGACUGAUCAAUGGACCUGGAUAAGGGUUAAUUGUAAAAGCUGGUGUAUGCUUUGUUUUGCUUUCAUGUUUAUUUAAAUCUUACUUGCCUGGGAAAAUUACAGAACAAAAGAUUAAGGACAUAUUUUACAUUUAUUAGACCAAGAAGUGUGGUCCAAGGGGUUCUACUUACAAAAAAUAAACCACACCUAGUUAAUUACAGCACAAACUCUUCUUUAAAAUAACUAUUUUUAUACAUAGUAAGGCACUAUACUGGUCUUAACGCUUCAGGCCUAAUUCAUAUUCAAUGUCAUGCUCCAGCACGUCUAAUCCAGUAGUGGUGACUCACUGUUCUUUCAUAUGUGUUUCCUAGAGAUGAAGAGAAAGUAAAUAGCUCUGAUACAUAGAUGAGACCCACAAGUGAAAGGAUCGAUGGCGUGCUAAGCAUAGCUCACAUUGAUAAUGUAUUGGUAUAAAAAAAAUAGAUGUAUAUUUUACAUAUGGUUUUGUAUUCUUGCUAUAAUAUUGUAAAUGGGGUGUUCAUUGAAUACACACUGCUGUUUGUUUGGUGUGUAAAUAAAAAGUUUAAAAGACAA